CAGAUAAGAACAAAGAUUAAAUUGUAAGAAGGGUUGCUUAUAAAAGCAUACAGUAGCCUACAUCUGAAACUGCUGAGGCUGGGAAGGUUUUUGACUAUAUUUCCGACCAGAUCAGCUGCUAUAGAAGACAAAAUUAAAUCUGAGUGCAGAGACAUGCAAAGGAAUACUGCAAGACACUACUGACUAGGCUGUGCCCAGGUCUCCGGAACCUGUGACGACGCUCAGCUCCGUUGGCCCUUAGUCUGCGGCUUCGGAUCCACCAGCUCUGUCUCCAUCGGUCGGCCCCCAGAUGUCGGCAGCCACACCAUCUACAUCUUGGCUCCUCGCUCCCUCGACUCCGCCGUGUGUUGUCAGCUCUGGGAUGCUCUGGGUCUGUGGCAUGUGCCAAACACCAUCUAAGUCGCCAGGGCAUCAUCGUCAUCCUCCCAUCACCAUCCCUACACCAUCUCCUCGUCCACCUCCAAAACCCCUCCAUCCCUCCCUAUUCUGUUGCUUGAACUUUAUCAUCUUCAGUCUUUGCACACACAUCUAUUCACUUUACAUGUUUUUUUUUUCUUCAGAAAAUUGCAUUGUAAUUUUUAUUUAUUCAUUGAUGUAAAAUUCUUUACUUUUCAGUAAUACAGGUAUAACUGAAAUGUUCUACAAAUGGAUAAG